rnacentral:tRNA from 1 species
GGCACGGUCGCGCAGAACACGGCGGCGCGCCGGCUUGCGCUCGGCAGCCUCGCGUUCAAGCUCGCGGGCGCGCUG